rnacentral:rRNA from 1 species
UACAGAGGGUGCGAGCGUUGUCCGGAAUCACUGGGCGUAAAGGGCGCGUAGGUGGCUCCGCAAGUCCAUGGUGAAAGCUCGAUGCUCAACAUCGAGUCGGCCACGGAGACUGCGGGGCUCGAGCACUGUAGGGGCAGAUGGAAUUCCGGGUGUAGCGGUGGAAUGCGUAGAGAUCCGGAAGAACACCGGUGGCGAAGGCGGUCUGCUGGGCAGUUGCUGACACUGAGGCGCGACAGCGUGGGGAGCAAACAGG